rnacentral:rRNA from 1 species
CAGUCGCCGCGGUAAUACGUAGGUGGCGAGCGUUGUCCGGAAUCAUUGGGCGUAAAGGGAGCGCAGGCGGGCAUGUAAGUCUUUCUUAAAAGUUCGGGGCUCAACCCCGUGAUGGGAAAGAAACUACAUGUCUUGAGUACAGGAGAGGAAAGCGGAAUUCCCAGUGUAGCGGUGAAGUGCGUAGAUAUUGGGAGGAACACCAGUGGCGAAGGCGGCUUUCUGGACUGCAACUGACGCUGAGGCUCGAAAGCCAGGGGAGCGAACGGGAUUAGAUACCCCCGUAGUCCCUGUCUCUUAUACA